GCCGGGGUGCCCUAGCCAGGAAGGGGGCGGGCCUGGAGAGCCCGUGGCUCUCGUGGCCGCGUGGGUUCGAAUCCCACCCCCGGCG
rnacentral:tRNA from 1 species